UCAUGGAGUGCCCUGCAUUUGACUUCUCUUCUACUGUCUUUCAUGUCCUCUACACAAAAGAUUCUCAUUUAAUGAAAACCAUGUCGCUAGUUCCUUUAGUGCGAUCCAGAGUUGCUCCUGAGUCACCUAGAACUGUAGCUUCUGCUGUUGUGAAGACUUUCUGCCCCCACGGAUAACACGGCAUGAAUCCCUAUGUGCCCCAGAGCCUGAUUGGCGUGGAUCUCCCAGCACACAGAAAGGCAAGAAUUAAGAGAAAGACAGGAGGGUCCUCAGGCCCACCUGAGCUCGGCCUCCUGCAUGCUGUCUUACAGAUAUCCACCACGGAGUUGAGCUUCCACUAUGUAAGAGAGACGAAGAGCACACUUAGAAAACAUGGCACACGUACAGCAGUAUGUGGAGGCAAUAGAAUUGCAUGACACACAUACAGCAGUAAACUCAGAUCCACCUGAAUGGGCUUUGAGCUGGAGUUUGGCAUUCUCAAUCUGGGAUUCAGAUGUUGGCCCGAGAUUGGUGGCACAUUACCCUACACCUCUGACAAGGUUAGCAGGAUGUUCCAGGUAUGUUUAUGCUGCACAGCAUUGCCAUGAUCCUUGCCUGAGGGGGAAGACAUACAUGAAAUAAGGAGCCCUGAAAAGAAGAGGACAUAGAAGCUGUGAAGCUUAGGAGGACAUAAGCAUGCUGGACCAGGAAGAUAAUGGGGGAGCUAGUUUCCCUGAGCCCCCUGAUUCUCAGAGACAGUCUGAUAGCCAACGUGAGUAGGGAUAGGUUGAUUAUUGUGCAUAUGUAUUUGAUUAAUGGAGGGGUGGGCUAAGCAAAUAUAGUCUGUGUGAUAGACAAAUGGGUGUAGGAUAGGUUCUUUAACUCCAGUUAGUGCAGAGCAGUAAGGUGGCUCCCCAUCUGCUGAUGAUGGAUAGGCAUCCUGCCAUUCUGUGUUGGUGGUGCACAGAGGGCUCUGGCUAUGCAAAAGGUGGAAUCAUUUGUGGAAUGACUGCAAUAUUUCAGGGUUCAGCAUGGGUUUCUGCCUUACUCCUUUGAAGAGGUAAUGAACUGCUGUUGCUGAGGGAAGGGCGUGCCUUAAUCAGUCUGCAUACCGGUGACUACUAGCACAGAGUUGGGGUUGAGUAAUGUAAAACAGAGGGUGUUGCUGUGUCUGGCUUAGCAACUGCCUGGCACUGUCCAGAAAGGAUGCUGUAGAAUCUGCAAGCAUGCUUUCAGCCCCUGCCUUGGACAAAACACUCUGAUGUCUGUUCUCACAAUGUGAGGGGAGACUGGUAACUUCUAUUAAUGCUAAUGGGACUUGUAUGCCAAAUAUCCCAUAGAUCAAAAGGAGAAUAGACUGCAUGAAGAUAACAAAUGGAUGUGCCAGCAACUCCUUGUGUGAUGGGGCUUUAAGGACUGCAUUUGUCAUCAUCGUUCCUUUUAUAAAACUGAAUAUAUGCAGUUUUUUGUCUUUUGGAGAGAGGUCGCUUUCUUAAAGCCUAAGGGACAACUUGUCCAACAGCUCCCCCAGUAGCUCUCCAUUCAUUCCAUCUUCCAGAUCAGAAUCACCCUAUUUGUUUUCCACCGCUUUCUGGGCUUAUUCCAGGCUAUAUGGCUCGGCUCCAUUCUCAGUUACACCCACCGAUGUCAGUGGAUUUGCACUGGUGUAACCAUGAGAAGAAUUUGGCUCCUCGUCUUUUUUACUCCCUUCCUCAUUUGGUCCAUUUAACACCAGCCGUUUCCCUGUCUCUUCUCAGAAUUUUGCCUUUGUUGGUGUGAGAGUCUUCCACUUUGUAACUCCUGCCUCAUGGUACAGCCUUACUGUUUCAUUUUCAAUCUCAGCUGAUACCGGAUCUGUUCUCCUGUGCCUCUGCCUCUUCUUCCCUCCCUCCCGCUGCUCUCUGUAUAAUGUUUUGUGAUCCAGUUUGUAUGAAAACACUGGAUAAUAAAAAAGUCCUAUAGUAUUAAUUUGGUGCAGCAAA